CAAGGUCUGUCUCUCCAACGGGUCACAUGUACAGCAAGAGCAAGAGCAAGAGCAAGGUUUGAGGAAGACUUGAAACUGCUUGCAAGAAUUCCUGUUUUUCCCGAGCUGCUGGGAAGAACGGAAGAGAAGAAGAUGGAAGAGGAGGAGGAGGAGGAGGAGGAAGAAGAGGAGGAGGUGAAGAAGAAGAAGAAGAAGGAAGAGAAGGCGGAGGAAGAGGAGGAGGAGGAAGAGAGAGAAGACAAGGGGAAGGAAGAAGCAGCCAUCAGAGGAGGAGGAGGAGGAGGAGGAGGAGGAGGGAGGAAGAAGAGCCAGGUUUCGCUCCUCCACUGGGUCUCCUCAAAGGACCGAGAGAGUGACGUCCGGCAAAUCGCUCAGCAGUGCUUUCGAGGGCUCUCCCAGGCGCUGCUCAAGAACCAGGACCGGGCAGGCAAGGUGAACGACCCUUCCAUCUUCCCUGACCUCUGCACGUCGCACCGCAAGAACUUAAUGCACAUGUUGCGGAACCACCAGAAGUGGGCCUCGGAGCUCAGCAGGGACAGCAGGGAGGUGUGGCAGCGAGAGGUCGAAAGCAGGAGGGAAUUUCUGCUGGAUUUCUUGACCCAUUUCCUGGCCUCUCUUCCGCCCGAUUUCGCCACGAGACUCCCUGACAAUUUUGACAUCGCCCUGCCAAAGGUUCAGAGUGAGGGCAGUUCUUACCUCAAUGACCUCUCUCAAGUGUCUGCUACGAUGGUGAACCUCCUGCUCCAAGAGCAACUAGAAGGCAAAAUUAGAGCGAGAAUCGAGGAAGAGAGAGAGAGAAUCGAAGUAAGCUACGUCGAGCGAGAGAGGAGUGCUGUGGAGCAGGUGGAGCGAGCCCUUAGAGAGAGGUCAGCCUGAUAAAGAGGUAGAAAUUUUGGCCAAGGAGGUCCAGAAGUUGAUGCAGGAUGCCGAGGAUGACAAUGCCCGUGUUCUAAGGAGCGGGUCAACUCAUGACAGAGCUCCUCCUCCUCCUCCUCCUCCUCCUUCUCUCCCGCAUGAUAACAAAGCUCUGGAAAACGUCGAAAGGAAGAACCAAAGGAAGGAAGGAAGACCAUCUCAGAAGACCCCAGAGUCAGCCCCUACAGUCCAUCAUAGUCCAAGAAAUAGCUGAAGGAAGUCCCAAGUCCAAGCGACCUUCCUCUCUUUCUGAUUCAAGUCGUCUUUACCUUCAGCGAGGGGGCAAAGCGACCAUGGACCUCUCCCUUCCCUUCCCUUCCUUCCUUCCUUUCCCUUUCCUUCCCUUCCUUCCUUCCUUCCCUUCCCUUCCUUCCUUCCUUCCUUUCCCCUCCCUUCCUUCCCUUCCCUUCCUGUCCCUUCCCUUCCCUUCCUGUCCCUUCCCCUCCCUGUCAUCAGCCCCACUGUGUCUGCCAUCCAUGUCUUGCAGCAGGCCAGCCAUUCUGACUUCCUCUUCUUCCUUCCCAGCAAGCAGUCACUCUCCUCCUCAGCACAUGGCCCAGAAGCUUCACUUGUCCUAUGCUUUUCAUCAAGUGCCUGGCUGUCUGCUGCUGCUCUUUGUCAUAGAGUUAAGUUGUCAUUAUUUUAGUUAGUUAGUUAGUUGGAGGUCCAGAUAAUUGUUGUAUGGGCAAGACUCCUGUCCCUCCCUCUCCUUCCCUCCCUUCCUCUCCCUCUCCCCCAAGUUCCCAGUCUGCAGAGGUCCAGAUAAUUGUUGUAUGGGCAAGACUCCUGUCCCUCCCUCUCCUUCCCUCCCUUCCUCUCCCUCUCCCCCAAGUUCCCAGUCUGCAGAGGUCCAGAUAAUUGUUGUAUGGGCAAGACUCCUGUCCCUCCCUCUCCUUCCCUCCCUUCCUCUCCCUCUCCCCCAAGUUCCCAGUCUGCAGAGGUCCAGAUAAUUGUUGUAUGGGCAAGACUCCUGUCCCUCCCUCUCCUUCCCUCCCUUCCUCUCCCUCUCCCCCAAGUUCCCAGUCUGCAGAGGUCCAGAUAAUUGUUGUAUGGGCAAGACUCCUGUCCCUCCCUCUCCUUCCCUCCCUUCCUCUCCCUCUCCCCCAAGUUCCCAGUCUGCAGAGGUCCAGAUAAUUGUUGUAUGGGCAAGACUCCUGUCCCUCCCUCUCCUUCCCUCCCUUCCUCUCCACCUGUCCCCAAGUUCCCAGUCUGUGGAGGUCCAGAUAAUUGUUGUAAGGGCAAGACUCCUGUCCCUCCCUCUCCUUCCCUCCCUUCCUCUCCACCUGUCCCCCAAGUUCCCAGUCUGUGGAGGUCCAGAUAAUUGUUGUAUGGGCAAGACUCCUGUCCCUCCCUCUCCUUCCCUCCCUUCCUCUCCCUAAGUUCCCAGUCUGUGGAGGUCCGGAUAAUUGUUGUAUGGGCAAGACUCCUGUCCCUCCCUCUCCUUCCCUCCCUUCCUCUCCCUCUCCCCCAAGUUCCCAGUCUGCAGAGGUCCAGAUAAUUGUUGUAUGGGCAAGACUCCUUCCCUCCCUCUCCUUCCCUCCCUUCCUCUCCCUCUCCCCCAAGUUCCCAGUCUGCAGAGGUCCGGAUAAAUGUUGUAAGGGCAAGACUCCUGUCCCUCCCUCUCCUUCCCUCCCUUCCUCUCCCUCUCCCCCAAGUUCCCAGUCUGCAGAGGUCCGGAUAAAUGUUGUAAGGGCAAGACUCCUGUCCCUCCCUCUCCUUCCCUCCCUUCCUCUCCCUCUCCCCCAAGUUCCCAGUCUGCAGAGGUCCAGAUAAUUGUUGUAUGGGCAAGACUCCUUCCCUCCCUCUCCUUCCCUCCCUUCCUCUCCCUCUCCCCCAAGUUCCCAGUCUGUGGAGGUCCAGAUAAUUGUUGUAUGGGCAAGACUCCUGUCCCUCCCUCUCCCUUCCUUUCCAGUCUUUCUCUCUUGUUCCAUUAUUUAUUUUCUCUCCCUCCCUCUUUCUUUGCUCUCUCCCUUCUUUCAUCUCCUCUCCCUUCAGCCGUAUUAUCGUCUUCCUUCUAAUCCAUAGCAUUUUCUCUCUCCCUUUUACAUCUGCUUUAUUUCCUUCUCUCUCUCUCUCUCUCUCUCUCUCUCUCUCUCUCUCUCUCUCUCUCUCUCUCUCUCUCUCUCUCUCUCU